UUGUGGGUGAGGGAGGGCAGAAAGGGAGAGUGCUGGGCGGGCUUGGUCGGAGAUUGAGGACUGGGAAUCCGCUUCCGGGAGGGCACUGUCUAGUGCACAGGCAACCUGGCCUUGGCCUCCUAGCCCGAGAAGCCGAAUCUCCCUAAUCCCUGUGACCUGUGUCACCUCUCCGUCACGACGAGGGGGACAAGUGGGGAGAAGUCUGGUGUCAGAUAGGAUGGCGCUGGAAGAGGGUGCCACAGCGGGGCCGGAAGGCGCCCCCACCCCAACUCCACGGGAAUAUAAACAAUUUGUAUUUUCCGAUCAGGUGGCGGGACAGGCUUCAUUGGGACAGCCCUAACCCAGCUGCUGAAUGCCAGAGGCCACGAAGUGACGUUGAUCUCCCGACACCCUGGGCCCGGCCGGAUCACGUGGGUAAGUCCAUCCUCUGGAAGCGGGUGGGAGGGCAGAGUUGGGCGGCGCAGAGCGGGGCAGCGGCACUGUGUGCUUUCUCCGACAGGAUGAGCUCGCUGCAUCGGGGCUGCCGAGCUGCGAUGCCGCCGUCAACCUGGCCGGAGAGAACAUCCUCAACCCUCUCCGAAGAUGGAAUGAAACCUUCCAAAAAGAGGUUCUCGGCAGCCGCCUAGAGACCACCCAAUUGCUGGCUAAAGCCAUCACCAAAGCCCCACAACCCCCCAGGCCUGGGUCUUAGUCACAGGUGUAGCUUACUACCAGCCCAGUCUGACUGCGGAGUAUGAUGAAGACAGCCCAGGAGGAGACUUUGACUUUUUCUCCAACCUCGUAACCAAAUGGGAAGCUGCAGCCAGGCUUCCUGGAGAUCCUACACGCCAGGUGGUGGUGCGCUCAGGGGUUGUGCUGGGCCGUGGGGGUGGUGCCAUGGGCCACAUGCUGCUGCCCUUUCGCCUGGGCCUGGGGGGCCCCAUCGGCUCAGGCCACCAAUUCUUCCCCUGGAUACACAUUGGGGACCUGGCAGGAAUCCUGACCCAUGCCCUUGAAGCAAACCACGUGCACGGGGUCCUGAAUGGAGUGGCUCCAUCCUCCGCCACUAAUGCUGAGUUUGCCCAGACCUUGGGUGCUGCCCUGGGCCGCCGAGCCUUCAUCCCUCUCCCCAGCACUGUGGUGCAAGCUGUCUUUGGGCGAGAGCGUGCCAUCAUGCUGCUGGAGGGCCAGAAGGUGAUCCCACGGCGAACACUGGCCACUGG
rnacentral:sRNA from 1 species